CGUUAAUGAACAUGUGAGAUUGUCCACUCAACAGGGCUCCACUGAUCCAGACUGGAGAAACCAGGGGAAAUUCAGUCUUCCUAAAUCCACGGCUGUGUUCCAAAUCACACACUAUUGGCCCUAACCCUACACUACACCACAUACUGGAACUGGGGAUUAACCCUUUAUACGAGUCUGUGAUCAUGUGACAUGGAUUAUAAGUGUAUUAUACUACUACAUUAUGAAAUGGAUAAAAAAAAAAUUUAAUAUCACUUUAUAAACCUCUAUAAAGCAUAUUGUGAUUUUAUAUAUAUAUAUAUAGUAUAUUGCACAUUUUCUGCACACUUGGGUUGUGAGUAAUAAUGAGUAUUAACAGAG
ensembl:lncRNA